GACGAACGCUGGCGGCGUGCUUAACACAUGCAAGUCGAACGGAAAGGCCCUGCUUUUGUGGGGUGCUCGAGUGGCGAACGGGUGAGUAACACGUGAGUAACCUGCCCUUGACUUUGGGAUAACUUCAGGAAACUGGGGCUAAUACCGGAUAGGAGCUCCUGCUGCAUGGUGGGGGUUGGAAAGUUUCGGCGGUUGGGGAUGGACUCGCGGCUUAUCAGCUUGUUGGUGGGUAGUGGCUUACCAAGGCUUUGACGGGUAGCCGGCCUGAGAGGGUGACCGGCCACAUUGGGACUGAGAGACGGCCCAGACUCCUACGGGAGGCAGCAGUGGGGAAUAUUGCACAAUGGGCGGAAGCCUGAUGCAGCAACGCCGCGUGCGGGAUGACGGCCUUCGGGUUGUAAACCGCUUUCGCCUGUGACGAAGCGUGAGUGACGGUAAUGGGUAAAGAAGCACCGGCUAACUACGUG
rnacentral:rRNA from 1 species